AAAUUAAAAAAAAAUAAAUAAAAUCUUAAAAAAAAAAAGCACAAAGAGGUACCGUUUCAUACCCACCAGGAUGACUGCCGUCUGAAGGACAGGUGAUAAAAAGUGCUGGCCAAGGCUGUGAGGCCAUCGGAAGCCUCCCCCCUUGCUGGUCAGAAUGGCAUGUGGGGAACCCACUUUGGAAAAAAGUCUAGCAGUUCCGCUGGUUAAACGUAGGCUGAUCGGAUGACACGGUAAUUCCACUGCUAGGUAUUUACGGAGACAAAUGACAACAUGUCCUCACACAAAAUCUUGCACAUUAACGUUUGUAGCGGUGUGAUUCACCCUAGCCAAAAAAGCCGAAAAAUCAGAUGUCUGCCAGGUGUAAGAGACGUGAUGUAUCCAAACAAUAGAAUAUUAUUCGGCCAUAAAAAGGGUUGGAGCACUGACCCACAGGACAGCCUGGUGAACCUUGCAAACGUGAGUGACAGAUGUCGGUCACAAAGGGCCAUGCGGCGUGUGGCUCAGCGGACAGGAAAUUGCGAGAACGGACAGAUCUGUGGAUAUGGGGCGUGAAUUUGUGGUUGCCCGGGGCUGGGGGCAGGUGGAGGGCUGGGGUGAGGGCGAAGGGAGCAGGAUUUCUUUCUUCUUCUUGGGGUGAUAAAAAUGUCCACCUCCAAUCGGUUGUGGUGACGGGUGCACAGCUCAGUGGAUGCACUAGGAUCGUGCACUUUAGAUGGGCGAGUUGUACGGGACGUGAAUUAUAUCACAAUAAAGCAGUUAAAUAGCAUGACAGACUAAAACCGUUAACCACAGUAAGAGCUCCUGCAUCCACCCCACUGGGAGGCGGGGGCAGGAGGGCACGAAUCUGAAGACAUUCAGCUUUUGGGUCCCAAAGAUGAAGGCCAUGUCCAUGCCACAUGGUCUUUCUGGGGCCCGAGCCAACUUAUCAUUUUUAUGGAGUUGCUUUUCCACUUAUGGCCAUAUUUGUAAUUAGUUUGGAAACCAUUAAAUGUCUUAUGACUCUUGUUUCUUUUAAGUCAAAAUUCUCUGCUAAUUACUAACCAUAAUUUUAAAGACAGAAGGGCACAAGCUGAGACUUGGUGCACGUCUCUCUGACUCGUGCACAUGUGUAUGGACUUUUCAUUAGCCUGGCGAUGAGGUUAUGCAUAUGCAUGAACUGAAUGUUCUCUUUUCUCUUGGCAGGGAUGCUGACCUCCUACCCCAGAGCCUAAGACAAAAUCAGACCCACACCAGGCCACGCAGGGCUGUUUGGAGAAGGAUCCAGGUGUCUGCAUUUCCACUGCUGUAGGGGCGUCUGGGCUUCAGGCGAUCUACGCCCACUUGCCUCUCAGCCAGGGGACAUCUCCUUCGAGGGUGCUAUGACUGGAUGGAUGGGUUCAGUCCAGCCCAUGAACCAGGGAAACUGGUGCCAGAUGGGGCCAAGGGAUGUCAUGAAGAAUUGGCCAAGUGACUCUUCCGGGACUGAGUGAGGAGAGAUGUGACCCGCAGGUGUCCGACCACAGUGAUGCCUCUGGGAUUGGAGGUGGCCAAGAAUGUGGGGAAACUGAAUUUUCCUGUCUUUGGACAACUCAGAGAUGGCAGAUGAGCUCCAGCCCGCACCUGCUAGGAAGCUGUAGCUGAAGCCUCGAUGCUGGGUAUCCUCCUGUGAGGUCUGGUCUCCUGGUGAGAAGGUGCUCCUGUCUCAGUAGUCAGGAAAGUGUUGACUGAGCCCUGAUCUCCACAGGGAUGCUCAAAACGAUUCCACUUAGGGGCAUACACUGACGUGUUCUGAGGACAGGACCGCUGACACAGCAGCCGGGUCAGCUGUUCGCUAGGGUGUAAGUGGGGAGAUCCUGGGGCUCCCGGGCUCUGAUUUAGUCGGCUGAAAGGCAGGACGCAGGGAGCCCCUCCUCUUCUCAGGCGUCAGCGCCUCAUCCGUUCUGGCCGCUGACUGCCCCCAUUGCCCACUGAGCCUCAGAGUAUCUUCUGUCCAGUGGGGAGGACGGCCCACCCGUGUGCCCACAGGCCCAGCAGGCCACCGAGUCAUGACCCCCCUGACUCGUGUGAGCCCGAGUUCAGACUGUGAGUGUCAUCUUUACACUUCCAUGUUGAGACCUGCACCUCCGGGAAGCCUUCCCAGGUUAGCGUCCUCUUGGGGCUCUGCUGGCCCCUGUCCUGUGUGUGCGGAGGGAGAGGCAGACACGUAUAGCAGCAAUCCCCGGACGGGAAGCAUGCCUGGUUGGGGCUGGCGGGUGAACGGGUGCGACCGGGUGUGGCGGUGCCCAGGACUGCCAGGGAAGGCUCCUAGGAGGCCGCGUGUGAGGGGACCACUAGGAAGGAGGAGGCAGAGGAGCAGGAGCAGGGCACCAGGCGAGGGGUCUGCGAGGAGGGUGGGGGAGGCAACAGGUGGGCGACCUGACGACGGGCAACCCACCGGCAGGCAGGUCCCCCCGCACCCCCCUGCCAAAGGCGACCCGGGCAGGGGGGCUGGGGGCUGAGCUGGUGGCGUGGGGGGAGCGGCGGAGGCGCGGCUUGCCCGGCUGUGGGGGCCCCGGGACCUCCACGUUCUGCGGGCCUCAGCAGCCUGGGGGGGGGCGGGGCUGUCCCUGGUGGCUGCGACCUCCUCCUUGCAGGCAGAACACGGACUCUGGGGGCUUUAGACCCCCCUCCAGAAUCUCAGGCAAAGGAAUUUGUCAACAUGCAGCUUCGUUUUGCAAAACAAGAGAUUUCCUCUGAAUGGUAUUUGCAGCUGGACGUGAACUCUCGCGUUUUCAGGUCUGUGAUCCACACUCGUUCGGAAACCGGUUCCCAUUCAGCCUCAUCCUGUGUUGUAUGAAAUAAAGUCAAAAUUGCUAACA